UUCCUUUGGAUUGCUGUGAGAUCUUGGACCAGCACCAUGUCUUCUUGAGUUAACUUCAACAGCAAGGUCGUCUUUAACAAGCUUUGACCUAGCCUUGGAUACCACUGGAAUGCUUCCAGGUGAAGAAGAAUCAUUAUCAGACAGAGAUGGCCUUGUUGCCUUGCCACUCGAAACACCGGAUACAAGAGUUGAAGUGUUUGGCAUCCUGCUUGCACUUUUCAUCUGUGUUCUAUGCACAUUCUCACACUGCUCCAUACUGUUUAAGUUUGCAUCCUCUCUGAGGGUACUACUGUCAAGAAACCGAUUCUCCCAUGGACGAACAGCCAUCCAUCUCUCCAGCCAGUUCCAUCCCCAGUUGUUUUUGUCAGGUUGAAAUCCACUGUGCGUAGACAACUGCCUAGUUCCUGCUUGCCACUACAAGACAGAUUUUUUUUUUUUUUUGAAUGAAUGUUAAAUUUAUUCGAUUCAAAAACGUUGUUACAAAGAAUGCAGCUUUACUUCUAUCAGAAAUGGCUAAUAAACUGAAUUUACAAUUGAGAAAUCUGAUUAAUUUGUGUGGUAAGAAAACCAGACUGACAUUGCUCCUUCGUAUCCUUUUCUUCCGGUAUGUUGAAUUGUGGAGAUCUUAUUACGAAUGAUUUGUCAUUCAUAUGCUGCAAUCUACUGGCAGGUUGGUGAUGCUCCCCAUGCUUCCUACGGUUUCUCUCCCUCCAAACCGAGUAAGAGAAAGAAAGAUCCUUAACUAGCAUAGAGGUUGUGAGUAACCUGGUGAGUCAAAGCAUAAGCCAUAGCCCUCUCACGCUUAUCUGCACCUUCCUGCCUCUUUAUCAGCUUUGCUUGGAUUUGUUCAACUGAUCCAAUGCUAUCACACCAACCUUCCUGAUAGAUGAAAAGACAUUGUCAACACAAGUCUAUAACUCUCUCAACAAAAAAUUAAAGUGAUUAUCACCACUAUUUCUCGGACUCUGGCUUCAUCUGCUACCUGCUGCUGAAGUGUCUGCUGACCCGUUUCACAUUCCAAGGAGAGACGAACACGUCUUGCACGUACACGAGCCUAACGCUUGCAUGCACCGAAGCGUUACAGCUGCUUGUUUUCUCACAAUGUGCCCUCUAAUAAGGGCUUGAAGUCUAACCAAACCCUUCAACGCUCUUAAAGCCCUUCUAGCCUAAAAAAAUACAUCAUCCAUAGAGUAGAAAGCAAAACAAUAACAGAUUAUAGGACUUAACAAGGCUAAUAUUGAUACCAGAAAGGCUCGAAAAGCUUAUUGGAUGCGCGUUGCAGCCAUAUAUAUGAUCCUUCCUUUGUUCUUCAUAAGCUGCACUAUAUGAUUGUAGUUAAGUUGAAUUAGAGACUCCAGCCUCUAUCACACUAUGCACAGUAUUUAAAUCUUCAAGUCCAUCUUGGAACUUUUCAGCAUCAAAAUCAACUGAAUGCUUUCUCCCAAACCUGGUCUUGGUAGGAAUCUUGUUUGUGAUUUGGAGAGAAUAAGAGUAAAGAAGGAUUUUAAUUUCCUUAUUUCUUUAGGUUCUUCAUACACUUACAUACGUAGAGUUGUUGGGAUUGAUGCAUGAUCUUAUGAAGUCUUGCCAACUCUUACUUUCAAUAUUCUCUUCAUUUCUUCAUGUCAAUAUUUAGUGGUGGGAACCAAUCCUCUCAUCUACUAACUAAUGAUCUUAUGACAUAAACCACUCGACCAACUAGACUUUUCACAAAACUUCUAACGUUUCCUUUCUCAUAAAAGAGGCUGCACGCAAAUGCUAUCUUCAAAGCCUGUGCAACAAAUGAUGCUAUAGAGAAAACAUAUCAUGUAUGUGGUGGAUCAGGAUUAUACCUAACUUUAGAACUGUAAUUGAGAAAAUGUCAGUAAAACACACAUGUGUGGCUAUGGAAUCAACUACUUUAUUUUACCGAAAAACAUAGUUCUUCAAAUACAGAGAAACAUAAAACAUAUAGCGAAUGAGAAACACACAUUAAUGAUAAACAAGAAACAACAAAUAAAACUUAAACUGUUAUAGUCCGAUCCAUCGACAUACAAACACAAAUAAAAUAUUUUGAAUUAGCUGAAAUGAUAUCAGCCCAACCUUCUUUCUCUGCAGGCCGUCUGGUUUGGUUGCUUGAAUUUAUUCUUCUAGAUUCUUCGCCUUAUAUUUUAAAAGGUAUGGAAAAAGAGAAACAUCAGAUACAUUAAUCUCAGUUAUUCAUUCAUGGUGACAGUUCUACUAUAAUAUAACUUUUUAAAAUUCAGAACAUCACCUCUUCAAUGAGUUGUGGUGUCUGCGUUUGUUUGGGACAAAAGCUUUCAUGAACCACUCUGGUUUGUAGGAAACCAGUAUGUAUCCCAUCGUCAAUCCAAAGAAAACACCUGGUACAAAUCCUAUUGCAGCUGCUAUCCAACUCAGCACCUCUUCUUCAUCUUCAUCUUCAUCUGGAUCUGGCGUUUCAGAUUGUUGACAUGUUGUCGCGUGGAUACAACCACAAACUUGAUCAAGUGAAGGACCAUACAGUCCCGGGUUGUCCUCGAAAGAAGAACAAGGCUGCGUCAGAAACUGAGUUCCCCCUGGCACUAGACCUAUAAGCUGGUUAUGAGAGAAGUUCAUGUAAGCAAGGAACGAGAGGCUCCCAAGCUCUUGUGGAAUCUCUCCUGAAAGAUUGUUUUGCGAAACAUCCAGUGACUCAAGCUCUGCCAGGUUUCCCAGUGAUGAUGGGAUGUGGCCAGUGAAAGCAUUGUUUGAAAAGUUGAGCACAUGAAGCUCUUUCAAUAGACCAAUGGACCUUGGAAUCUCUCCUUCAAAUUUGUUCCCAGAGAAGUCGACUGCUGUGAAGAUUUUUAAGAUACGUUCCAGAUUCCUUUCUACACCUUUAUUAACCAUAACCACUGAAUCAGAAUAAUAAUUUGUACCCAUGUACCUCUCUGCAUAUCUAUCUUCUUUCUUUUCAAUGGAAUACAUUGCCGUCCAAUUAACGAAGAAGUCCGAUGACAAAGUUCCAUUGAAGUGAUUGUGGUUUAUGUCGAUGAUCCGUAACUUAGAAAACGGAGUUUGAUGUAUUAUUGGACCAUGAAAUGCGUUGGAGCGAAGGACAAGAACCUGUAACUCCGGCAGAGACCUCAACCAGAAAGGAAACGUGUCACUGAUUUUGUUGAUCUCCACAUUCAGAACUUGAAGAAAAUGGAUACGGAUGAAUGAUCUUGGAAGCUUUCCCACCAGACGGUUAUGACCGACGUCAAGCUACACUAGACUUUGAGACAUAUUCUCUGGAAUAUCUCCACUAAGAUGAUUUUGUCUAACAUUUAGAACUUCAAGACUUCUGCUAAAAUUUCCCAGACAGCUAGGGAAUGAGCCACUGAAUUUGUUGUUAGACAAAUCGAGAGUGGUUAGAGAGCGCAACUCACAUAUGAAACUAGGGAUCUUGCCCGUGAAAUUGUUGUUGGCGCCAGACAAGUAACUCAGAGAUGUUUUCCGGACAUAAGAUAUCCCAUGUUUCGUUGGGCUUUCAAAACCAAUCAAUGUGUUGUUGGAAGUACUCACGUAUUCAAUAAUUGGAAGCUCCCAUAACCAUCCAGGCACUUGACCUGUGAUUUUGUUGUUAGAAAUGUCUAGUGUUUUCAUGUUGCGUUGGGUUCGUAAGAGCUCCGGAAACUCGAAGAUACCGCAUCCUGACAAGUUCAACUCACCUAAUAAUGGAGGAUCUGAAACCAAGCUACUGUUCUCAGUUGAAACAUGGUUUCCCGAAAGAUCCAGUGUAUGAAGUGACUUCAAAUAUGGUAAGAUUGCAUUCAAGACAAGUGUAGUGGUGGUGUUCAAAUGGGAGAGGGAAAGAGAGUAUAGGGACUUCAGAUGCCAGAAGAUGCUAAGGUCAACAACUGAACCUUGGGUGUUGAGAUGAGAAAGAUCAAGUGUGUCAAGGUUGACCAACUUGGAGAUGGAUCGGGGGAUUGAUCCCAUGAAGUUGUUAUCGCCAAGGCUUAAAUCUUCUAUCCUAGAUGAUUCAGAUAUAUUACCAAGCUCAAGAGUGCCGUUGAGCUGGUUAUUUGACAAAUCAAUAUAAGUUAAAGAAGGAAUGGUAAAGAGAGAAGAAGAAGGGAUAGGUCCAGUAAAAGUGUUGUGUUCUACGUAAAAGAACUCCAAGUUGGAGAGUGAGCCCAUGUUAGGUGGAAGCAUGCCCGAGAAUUGAUUUCCGCUGAUUGAUAUGGAAAUCAGCUUUGUUAGAUUUAGUAGUUUAAGAGGAAAGUUACCAUGAAGGAUGUUGUUUCCAACAUCCAUGUCAGUGAGAUGAUCCGAACUGCCAAAAAAAGAUGAGAUUUCACCAACGAAAUUGUUUUGUGAGAGGUCGAGAACAGUGAGAUGUGAAAGGUUUCCAAAUGAAGAUGGAAAUUCACCAACAAAGUUGUUAGCACAAAGGAUAAGCUCAGUGAGAUUCAAAAGAUUUCCAAGUGAAGAUGGAACUUUACCAGUAAAUUUGUUUUGGGAGAGAUUAUUAAGAGUGGUGAGCUUAGAGAGGUUUCCAAGUGAAGAUGGAAUUUCACCACUGAAAUCAUUACCUGAAAGGUCAAGAGUGGUUAGCUUUGAAAGGUUUCCAAGUGAAGAUGGAAUAUUACCACUGAGCUCAUUACUUGAAAGGUCGAGAGUUGUUAAAAAAGGAAGCCUCUGAAGCAGAAAGAUAGUACUGUUGGAAUUGAACUGACCAUGGAGGCAACUGUCACUAAGGUUCAGCUUGAUCACAUCCCCGAAACUGGCAUCACAUCUGAUACCGUCCCAUGAACAACAAUCGCUGUUAUUCUCCCAUGACUUUAGACGUCGGUCAAGACAAGGCUUUUGAAUCUGGAAUUUGUUCUUGAAAUCCAGAAUCGCAUCCCUUUGGUCAGGAUGACACAAGUGUCUAGCAGGAUCCACAAACACAUCUCGAAAUAAAAAGAGAAAAGAAAUAAAAACAGAGAAGAGACUGAUUGAGUUCUCAUAGUCAUUCAUCUUCUUUACUUUCUUAUCGGUAGUUAUAAUAAAGAAAACAGUUUCAUGUUUCCAUCAGCUUGACUGACUAACGAGUCUUUCUACUAAACACGUUGAAAGUAUUUUUCAAUCUCCCCAUUUGGAAUUUCCACCAGAUUUAUACUUCCCCAGUUUAUCAUUUCUUAACAUGUCCGCAUGAUUUUGUUGACAAGUGAUCCAUAAUCAUGUAACACACUCAAUUGUGUUCUGCUAGAGACGAAUAGUCAAAGUCUAUCAAAAAUGUAUUCUCCUAGACGAAUAGUCAAACUCUAGCAGAGAUAAUCAACCUUCCCCCAUCUUCUAUAUUAAUUGAGAAGUCACUUAACUGAUGUGUACAAACAGUUACUUUAAAAUUGUUUUAACGUGUUUGGUCGAUUUUUUUUAUUUUUAUUUACUUAAAAUACAUUGCAAAACAAGUUAAAGAAAUAAACCAAAAAAGAGUUAGGCUUUUAUUGUUCACCUAACCACGCCAUCUUUCUCGAGUUCUCAUUAUGAUCCCACAAGUAGCAUGUCACUGUGGAUUGAAUCCGCUUGCAGAGCGAAACUGGCAGGCUGAAGCAAGACAUGGGGUAUGAGAGAAUGGCUGAGAGGACAAUUUGAAGCAUGACAAAUUUUUCUGCUGCAGAGAGAAAUUUGUUGGUCCAUCCCCUCGCUUUCUGCUCAAUCCGGUCUAAAAUUAAGGAGAAGAGAUCCCUCUUACGCCUCCCGAAGUGUUCGGGCAAAGCCCAAGUAUUUCUCCACACCACCUUCACUUUGGAUCUGCAACACAUCUUUAACCAUUGUUUUCAGCGAGGCUGGCGCUUUCCGGGAAAAUGAGAUAGCAGAUUUGUCUUUAUUUAUUGACUGCCCAGACACGUGUUUGUAUUUUCUCAAAAUGGACUUAAGGGCUGCACAAUUCUCCUUAUCGGCCUGGAGGAAGAACAUUGUAUCAUCCGCAAAAAAAAAGGUGAAUUAAUCGAGGACUGCCUCUAGCCACUUUCAAACUUUGAAGUAGGCCUUCUUCUUGCACUUUGUUACAUAAUCUCGAAAGAAUUUUACUACACAUAAUGAAUAUGUAGGGUGAAAGAGGAUCACCUUGACAGAUUACUCUGCUCGGUAUUAUGUUCUCUCUAGGCAAACUAUUAAUGAAGGAGUAUUUAAUAGAAGUGAUACAAUGCAUUAUGCAUCUGAUCAAGUUUUGGUGGAAUCCCAACCGGUUUAAAACUAACGUGAUAUCUCUACUUUGAUCAUGAUUACAGUAUACAAGUUAUAGGGUAAUUUAAUUUUCAUGUACCAAAAAUUUGAAAAACCUUUUUCUCUUAACCAUUUUCACAAUUAAAACUUAAACUUACAUAUUCGUACAAUUACAAACUUAAAAUUACACAACUCAAAUUUUGACUCUAGAUUACAUGACAAUUUCACCUGACGUAGACCUUAUUUAAUUUAAAAGGAGUCCCAAUCCUACAAGAGAAAUCAACAAAAUCAGACGAGAAAAAAAGAAGAAAAAGAAAACCAAAAAAGCAUACAAGUAAAAGCCAGGAACGACAUAAAAUGCGAUGCACAUAUAUUCAUAUUCCUCUGAGAGGUUUUACCCUUGAAUCUGUUCUUAUUAUAGCCACGAAAUAGCAAGAAAUGUUUCACGUUGGCAUUGAUAUGUCAUACGUGCAUGGGCAUAUUUUGCAUACGAAUCAAACCAAGGUAAUUUUUAGAUGGUGAGGUUUUCUUUGAUCACAAAGCCUGUGUCUAUAAUCCUGCCACCAAGACCUGGGAAUGUCUCGCAUCCAGGAAGAGAACUCACUUUGCCUGCCCUAUCGACUUGAACGGGAUACUUUAGAAGAUGACUUGUCAUCUCUGUGACUUCCUCUGCUGCAUACUGUCUCCAGUUAAGCUCACUCAAUCUCCUAACUCGUCUCACGCAUUCCAUGUUCUCUGGAUUUUCGAAACCUUUCUCUAGAGACCCUAGAUGUUCCGCCCACAGCGACAUUCUGUAUCCAAAGAUCUGCAAGAAAUAGGGAAAUAUGCAACAAAACCAUGUUUUAGAGGAGCAAGAUUUGUAAAUUGGUGACUGUGAUCUCAAACUUUCCUAAUUAUAAGGAAAUAUAUUCUAGGAGAUCUCAUAAUCCCCGAGAUCUCAUAAUAGACUGUGGUGGCUACUAAAGCUCCAAGCCUGUGAAGCCGAAGGAAACACUCUCUAAAACAGAUUGGUGGGUUUCUGGUUUUUAGUUAUUUGAAUGCAAACUCAGAUUGAAAUUUUAUUACCUGCCCACGAGGAUGAGAACCUUUCUUAGCCCAUGAGUGGUGUGGUUGAUAUCCUCCCAUUGCGAUUUCAGUGUCUCUAGAUCCUUCCAGGGAUCUCUCGUUGAUAUUCGCAGAACCAAUUAAGACAAACUCAUCGUCCACUAUCAUACCUUUGGAAUGAACAUAUAUCAUGAAUCUUCGACUCUUCAAAGCUUCCACCUGGUUUAUUUUGUUGUUUUAGUGAGAAAAAUGUUAUUAAAGCGAAGACUUCAACAAUCUAUAUGCAUAUACCUGUGGGCCAUCUUCUUCCUUUGUGUUGUUGUUAACGUUUCCAUCAGCAACCUCUCUGGUUCCAAGACAGAAGAAGUUCAAAUAGUCUUGUGGCUCAUACUGACCAUCAAGUUCAGCUUCCACAAGUGCCUUGUAGAUAGUUAGAUACAUCAUUUGCAUGGUUUUAUACUGCAGAAAUGAUGAAAAGAUUCCAGUGUAAAGGAUGCGAGAUUGUUAUUCAAGUCAGUUAAUAUUUAGCAAACUAAGUAUUUACCUGAUAUUGUAAAAUGCUCUGCGUAACGAUACCCGUUGGAUCACCUUCUGGCAGCAUUGGAAUGACAAUAUAAGCAGCAAAAUUUUCUCUUGCUCUAAUUUUAUUAGCAAUCUUAAGCGCAAUUUCCAUAGGGAUUAGAUUAUUAGCACCUGCAUUUCAAGAAACUCCUUGUUAUAGUAUUAUUGCACGAGUUGACUGAAUUGCCUUCAAAGCUAACAAUUUUCUUACCAACGAUUUUAUGUGAAUCCCAGUUAAAUGAUGAUCCAAAAAAAUAUUGGUUCUCAAUGUAAAUGAAAUGCUGAGCAGAUCUUAUGGCCUUAACAUAAGCCGUGUGUAUGCUCAUGUCUAUAAGUAUAUUCUUCCCACAUUGAAGAUUCUGUUGACAUCUUAAUAAUCAUCAGUAAAUAGCUACAUUGGUGGUGACUGAAGAUGACAAGUUUAAAAAUGUUCAGAAUUGUGCUUACCCUUGCACUAGCUUCCUUUGAGUCCUCUGGAAACCCUUUGACUGAGGUUGAAUCAAUGGACCGAAAAACCUAAAUAAAUAGUAAAAAAAAAAAUUAAUAAUAUGGGGACUAUUAUUAAUAUAUAGUUACUAUUUUACAAUUUUACAAUUUUUUUUGAGUUAUACAUUUUUGAAGUAUAUAUAUAUAAGAAUAAGAAGAAGGAUUUAUUUUACUGUUGAUAUACUGAUUAAAUCUAUACUAUUAUUUGCGAAGUAAAUUUUUGAAACGGAGCUCUCACGUUAAAAGUUAGAGCGGUUAAUAUCGUUUAUACCCUUAAUGAAUAUCUAUAUAAAUUAGUCAAAAAAAAAAUAAAAAAACGAAUUUCAAAUCAAUCUGAUUAAAAAAGUGAUUAAAAUUAAUAAUAAAUCGUUUAUACCCUUAAUGAAUAAAUGAUAUAAAUUAGUCAAAAAUAAAAGCAAAUUUAAAAUAUAUCUGAUUAAAUAAGUGAUUAAAAUUAAUAAUAAUAAGAACUAUCUGAAAUAUAAAUAAUUAAAAACAAAUUUCUAUUAAUACUAUUAUAUUUAUAUAUUUAUAUUUAGAUAAUUGACUAUAAAUAAAUAUCAUAAAAUUUUUAAAAAUAAAAACAUGUUUUAAAACAUAAGAUAAUUCUUAGAUAUAUUCUGUUGUUAUCUGAAAAUAAUAUUUUAUUAUAAAAUUUAUAGUUAGAAAUAAAACAAUUUAUAAUUAAAUGCUAAUUAAAUAAAUAUAUUUUCUAAAAUAUAUGUGAAUGUUUUUAGGGAAAUUGUCACAAAUAGCACAUUCAUAGUACCACUUUUCAUGUUUACACUAACCACUUUUACCAUCACUUUUGAAUGAAGGGUAAAAGACAAUUUUUCCCUUAGGGUUAACUAAUCUAGACUUAGAGCAUCUCCAACUCCACUCCAUAUUUUACUCCAAAAUAUAAAAAAUGGAAUGGGAAACGGAGUGAUGAACAAAAAAUAAAAGCAUUACUCUAUAAAUGGAGUAAUCCUUUUAUUUUUUUUGUUCAUUACUCCAUUUUCCACUCCAUUUUCUCAAUUUUGGAGUAAAAUAUGGAGUGGGGUUGGAGAUGCUCUUAGGGUUUAGAGUUGAGGGGUGGGGUAGGGUUUUUGGAGUGUGAAAUUUAGGAUUCUAAUAAAUAUAUAAAUAAAUACUUAAAAAAUAUAUAAAAAAUUUUAAAAAAUAGUUUCAAAAUAAUUUUUCGUUUUUCAAAAAGAAAUUUGAAAAAAAAUAAAAAAAAAUUAGAAAAUAAAAAUUUCAAAAAAGAAAAAUUUAUAAAAAAGCUCGAAUUUGAAAAAGUAUAAUUCGUAAACAAAUUUAUUUUUAUUUAAAUAAUUAUUUAUUAUAUAUAUAAAUAACAAGGGCAUAAGAGUUUUUUGCCACUUAAUGAAGAAUGUAUUUUUGAAAAUGUCUCUUUAGUGGUGGUAAAAAUGAAAAGUGCUACCAUGAAAGUGGUAAACAUGUAAUUUUUCCAUGUUUUUAAAAUUUAACACAACAAUAAGCAUAUUUAUAUUUUUCAUAAAAACUAAUGAAUAUAUAUUAAUAAUAUUUUAUUUAUAUGUUAUAUUUGAUAAUUGAUUAUAAGUAAAUAUAAUAAAAUUUUCAUAAAUAAAAUAUAUUUUUAAAACAUAAGAUAAUUUUUAAAUAUUUUGUUUUUUUACCUGAAAUAAUAUUUUUUACUAUAAAAUGUAAAGUUUAAUGUUUGAUUUAUCUUUUUAAAAACACAAUUAAUAAUUUAUUAUGUUGGUUUUGAUUUAAUAGUUAUAAACAGACAAAUAUCUAUAAGAACACUAUGCCCACAUGUGCGGGUAGAACACCUAGUAUUAUAUUAUUAUUAUGCGAUUAAUUGGUGUAUAUGAGAUACGUAUAGUAAAUGUGGAUGUAUUUUAGAUGUCAUAUGAGAAAAUCACAUCAAAAUAUUUUAAGUGGUUAUAAAAAUUAAUAUGAAUUGAACUGUGAAUAAGAAAAAAAACAAAUACAAUGUUUUAUUUAUAUUUAUAUUUAUAUAAAUAAUAUAUAUAUAUAUAUAUAUUAAUUAUGUUAAAAUUAGACAAUAUAUUUGCAUAAAGUUUUUUAAAAAAUUACUUUAUUUCCAGAUAACAAUACAAUAUAAAGAGUUAUCUUAUUUUUUUAAUAUGUUUUUAUGCGAAAAAUUUAUCAUAUUAAUUUAUAAUCAAUUAUCUAAUAUAACUUAUAAAUAUAAUAUGGUUAAUAUAAAUUAUUUUUAUCAUAUUAAUUUAUAAUCAAGUGUAUUAUUUGCACUUGUCUAAUUCGGAACUUGUGAAAUUUAUUAAUUUAUCGAGUAUUAAUUUAUUAAGUUAAAUUAGUUCAUUGGAAAAGAAAUUAGAUUUAUCCUUUUGCCACCACCACAUAUGGCUACAGUCCCCUCAUAUUUCUCAAUUACCUGAACAUGCCAAGACUCUGGAUCAUUAUCAUCAACAAAAGAAGCUUCUGAUAGUCCCAUGAUAUUUGGAAUUCUGUCAAUCUUAAGCAAAGCAUCCUCAGAAGACGAUCUGUGUAUCGAAAUCCUGUGCCUUUUCUCUGAAGCCUUUAGCCAACGUUGUUCAAAAUUAGCAAGCACGUCAUACGCUGCUGGACCGUCAAUCAUGCUGUGCAGAUCAUGCCACGGUUGUCUUGGUCCAUCAUCCUCAGUAGUCUAAUACGGAAAAAGAAGUUUCUUUACACUGAUCAAAAAUAGUAGCAAAACUGAACCAAACAAGAAUUGUCUUGAAUGGUUACCCCAAAACAAUUGUUAUAGAAAUCAUCUUUAUGAAGAGUCUUUAAUGUCGUAAAGAGAGGAUGCUUAGGCGUAUCAAAACGUCCUUUGCACACGUCUAUCCCUCCAACAAACGCUACGAUCUUUCUUCGACCCUGAGCUGCCUCAGCAUCUACAAUCACAGUUUUCUGAUGAUGUGUGUAGAUAGUUUGAACUUCCUGAUCAUCACAAUGAGGUUCAGAGGAUUAAACUAUACAUACAAGAGUUUAAGCAGUGAUGCAGUAAUUAUUGAGCAUCUUACAGUUUUUUUUACAAAGCUAUGAAGACCUCUUCCCCCAGAUCUAGGACAAAUAAUAACUUGCACCGACGAGUUCCUAAAAUAAUGGCGAGUCUCCUCAUCGCUUGUCUUCAUAUAUCCGCGCUGCAUACCACAAGCAAUUCGUGAAAACAACAAAAGGUUUGUGUAACAGACAUCAUGUGAGAUUGGUCUAGUGUUGUAACUUGUAGAAGACGUUAAUAUUAUAUAACCCUUUUCAUCUAUCCAGUUUCAAUCUACUAUUAUUAUAGUUUACAAGAGAUAUGAUUAAGAAAAGAUAGACUGUUAAGAGAAAAACAAUACAUAGUUAGGCACCACUUACUGUUCUGUACCCCAGAAAGCUCCAUGAAAUUGGAUCAUCCCACACCAAUAGCAACACUCUAACACCUUCUUGAGAUCUUUCUUUAAGCAAAUCCCCUAAUGUACCAUCGGUCGGAUCAUUAUUGCGACGAACCAGCCUAACCGGAUGGUAAACUGACCAACCUGUGAUAUAAAUCAAGUUCUUUGCCUGUCUAAUCGCAUCAGCCAUAUCCUCCCAGCACUUUCCAUGUAUAUACUUCAUCCCACCAUCGAGAUCUACACUCGGAAGUGUCCCGUCUUCAACAUGGGCAUCUUGAUACAGAGUAACUCUACCGCCUUUCCUCAAAGGGAAGUAUGUACCGGGAACUCCUUCGCACUCAUUACCAACACCCAUUUGGUAAAAUUUCAUCAUUUCCACUGGAGUGUAUUGAAUAGCCAAACUCAACACAGCACCCUUUUUACAUGGCUUCCCACUACUAUCAAGUAUCGGAAACAGCCCUUCGAUCGUGUUUCCUGAACAUAACUCCUCGGUUGGGAUUCCAACAUCUCCUAUGAACUUUGCUCCAAAACGGUCACUGUCUUUCACCACAAACUUUACCACCUUAGCAUGGUGAGCCACCGGUACAUAGAAAUGCUGCUUCCACACAGGAUUCUCAUCGUUGUCGACCACAAAAGUUGUGCCAAUCUUUGCACCUGCGAUAGAGACAGUCACGAAGGGAUCACUUGUACUGUUCUUCUUGUACCUCCGAAAACGAUCCAUGUUAGGAAGAUUUUUAGCUUCCUUCACCCAAACGUCUAAGUUACCAUGUAACAACACUAAUCUCAAAGAACCGUUACUUGACCCUUCCAUUGACAUGAGUCUCGGUAUAAACCGAAUGAUGCGUCAAGAAAAAGCGGAAAAAGUACUAAAUAAGAAAAAGGAUCAAAUGUCGAGCCCAACCCACAAAAGAAAAAAAUCUUUCAGCAAGACCUUUGAGAUACAGUUUCAGAACAAUCUUGAGUUCUAAGUAGACGAAUCAAGCAGUGCGCUCGUAAUAUAAGGUUUGUGUUAUCAGCCGUACAUUGUUGACCGUUCAAAUUUUAGCCAUUGACACACUUCAACCGUGGUCCAGGCUUUCAAUAAAACCUUCCUUAAAUCGUAUGGGGACAAGACAGUGAAUGCAAAUUAUCAGUAGAAACAAACUUUCGAGACUUAGAAAUACGUUGACUUGGCCGGAUAUUUGGAGUUGACCUCAAGGUCAAGAAAAUAAUCUAUACUAUUAAUUGCUAAUUGAUUUUUUUGCAAAGAAACUCUCAAUUUAAAAGUUAGAAUUAUUAAUGAAUUAUUAUAUUUAUUUAAUUUUAUAUAAUUGAUCAUAAAAUUAACUACGAUAAAAAAAUUUUUUAAAAAAAGAUGCAGCAUCAAUGGUAACUAAAUCGAACAUUAAAUUAAUACAUGCAUUAAAUUCAAAUCAAAAGAUAUUAAGACAACUUAUCUGCAUAUUUAAAAAAGAGAAAAACAAUGUAUAGGAUAAUUUUGGUCAGUUUAGGCGUUUGUUUGGUUUUCAUCAUUAAUUAUAUAAUUUAUCAUACGAAUAUAAUUAAAACCACUCAAAAAACGUUUUUAGUAAUUAUUUUGUUUGCAAAUAUUUUGAUAAUAGUUUGCACACAUGCAUUAAUCAAAUCCCUUCGUUUCUUUACAAAAAAAAUAAUUUCUUAAACUUCAUACUUUUGUAAAGCUUAUACAUACAAAAAAUCUAUACUAUUAUUUACGAAAUAAUUUUCGCAACGAAUCUCUCACGUUAAAAGUUAGAAUGGUUAAAGUCGAUGCUACCUUUAAUGAAUUAUUAUAUUUAUUUAAUUUUAUAUAAUUUAUCAUAAAAUUAACUACAAUAAAACAAAUUUCCAAAAAAAAAAGAUGCAGCAUCAAUGGUAACUAAAUCGAACAUUAAAUUAAUCCCUCUAUAUAUUAAUUGAGAAGUCACUUAAGUGAUUUCUGCUGAUGUGUCGCUCAUAGGAGAGUUCUCCAAUUAAUUGUUAUAAUUUGAUUGGUUAAUAGUUUUUAAUUUUUUUUUAUUUAAUUAAAGUUUUUAAAGAAAAACUAACCUUAGAAUUACCUAAUCUAAUAUAUGUUUCCAAAUAUACAAUUAAACAUCUUAAAUAUAGAUGAAUUAAUAUAAUUUAUUUAUAGACACAAUUAAAUAUCAUAGAUUAUAAUAUAUAAAUUGAUGAUGUACAUUUAAAUACAUAUGAUAUUACAGAAACAAUUAUAAAAACGGAUUUAAAUUUAUAUUAGUAGUGAAUACAAUAAAUCAUAGAUUCUAAAAAAACUAAUUAAUGUAAACCUAAUAAUAUUAAUUCUAAAAUGUUUCAAAUGAAAUCAAAACAGUCAAAUAUAUAAUUUUAAAAAAUUCUCAUCAUUUUCCAAUGACAAUGUGAUAUCAUAGAUAAGUUAUCACUUUUAGAAAUGAUUAAAAUAUUUUUAUAUUUUAAAACAUAAAAAUUAUAUGGUAAGUCAUUUAAAAUUAUAUUAAUCAAGAAAUUUUAUUUAAUUCAUCUACUAAUAUAAACAGAUGAAUUAAAAUUAUUAUAUGGCAAGUCACAUAAAAUUAUAUUAUAUGGUAAUUCAUCUAAAUUUAUUAUAUAGUAACUCAUUUACAUUAUAUUAAUCAAAGUAUUUUUCACAUGCUUUUCCUAGAGUAAAUACUCUAUUAAUAUAAUUCAUAUAGCUUGGAUUAUAAUAAAAUUAGCAAGAUUGUUUUGAAUAGUAAAAAAAAUAAAGGAGACAUAAAUAAAAAAAACAUGAGGGAAGAAUAAUAAAAUAUGUUUGUUGUGUUCUUGGUUCUUUAUAUUCUUAUGUAUUUAAUUUUAAUUAUUUUUCGAGAUGCAUGUAUUUUUUGUGUUACUAUAAAUGUGAACUAAUUAAUUUUAUGUGUUUUUAAAACAUUUUGAUAAAUUGAGUUAGAAAGAUCAAUAAAAAUGACAUGUUUUUCAAUUGUUAAAGUCAAAGAUAGAAAAUAUAAUGUAAUUUGCAAGUAGGAUAAAUUAUUUAAAAAUACGAGAUGUAUAUUUUGCGGUAUAAUAAACUUUUAAAAUGUACAAUAAUAAAAUUUUAACAAAUUUUAUACAAAUAAAAAUAUUUUAUUUUGAUAUAAUAUCUGAUCUCACAUUAAUAUUAAGUAUAUAUGCCUAAAAUGACAACCUUUCUUCAUUUAAAAAUUAAAAUUUAUGUUUUCUUAUUAAUUAAGUAGAUUAAAUUAAAAUAGGUAUGUUUUAAAGGAAGAAAUGGUUUGAUCAAACCAUUUAAGUUUAUGUUAAACACUAAAUAAAAAAUGAGUGAAAAAGUGUGAAUUGUGAUUUGAAAAAAUUAUAAGAGAAAUUACUUAGACUACCAUUUUCAUAAUACAAGUUUUCAUGUUUAUAUUAACCAAAUUUAUCCUAGGUUUUAAAGAGGUAAAUCAUACUAAAUAUUAAUUGAGAAGUCACUUGAGUGAUUUUUCUUAUGUAUUGUUAAAAGGUUAAGUUUUAAAAAAUAGUUAUAAUUUGAUUGGUUGUUGACAUUUAUUAGUUAUUUAUUUUAAUCAGAUCUAAAAAUAAAAGGUAACUAUAGAACUAAUUAAUAUAAAUUACCAAAUAACACAAGUAAUAUUACAAAUAAUGAUUUAUGGUAACUAACUGUAGAAUUGGAGAAAUAAUAUAUAUGUUUUAUCAACUUCUUUUUUCUUUAUCAAUUAUUUAUAUAUAAUUAAAUAAAAUAGUUUAACUUUUUUUAUUGAAAGAAAUUUAAUAGUUAUAUAUUCUUAUAUAAAAAAUAGAUUUGUAGGUAAAGAAUUGUUAGAACUUUUUAUGUUUUCUACAGUCCACACAGAAACGUUUACAAAAUAUAUUCAUAAUAAAAGCAUCCGAUCAUUGUAUUGGUCCUACACACAAAAAAACUCUUUUUUUUUAUUUCUUGAAGACUAGAGUAUCCAGGUUUUAUUAGGUGUUAAAAUAAAAUAUAAAGUAAUUCUACAACCAAUUAUCUGAAUUAGUUAUAAUAUUACUUUUCUGUAAGAGAAAUAUUAGUAAUGAUUAAGGUUAACAUUGUUGAAUUUUUUUAAAUAUCACAGAUCUUCUAAUAAUACAUAUGUUCGUUAAACGAACGCUGCCACACCGACUACAGAUCAAAAUUUAGAAGGAAAAAAGAGUAUUCAAAAAGAAAGAGAGAAGAACAGAUGACACGCGUCUCUGUUUUCAGUCGCAGAGAAGAGAGAGAAAUGAAGAACAAUGGUCGCUACUUUUUUGACGUCAGCGGUAACACCGGAAAGCUUCGCUUUUUUUGACGCUGCGUCUCUUGUUUUCAUUUCAUUUAAUCAAUGAUGAAGAAACCUAUGAACAAAUCUCAGACGCUAAUGUCGAACGCGGCGUUCGUUAAACGAACAGGGGUAUUAUAUAUUGAAAUUUUUGAUUAUCCAAGUAUUUAAAAUUAAAAAUUAAAAUUUUAAUUAUUAUUCAAAAAUUAUAACAAUGUAAAUAUAAUAUUUAUUUCUUCGUAUAAUUAAAAACUCGCAAAAUUGCGGGCAAAUAUGUAGUUCUUUUGUAUAUGUACUUUGGUUUGAUCGAUCAAAAGAUCCAGUUUGGUUCAGAUAGUAAGAUGCUCUGGUUGUUUGGUUUAGAAUUGUUCUCAUCGAAAUAGACUUAACUUCAAAUUUGACUUGGUUCGGCUCAAUAAUAUUCAAUCUGGGUUGGUUUCGUUUAAAAAACUUAAUGAAAUAUUUUUUUUUAAUAUCAGGUUUUGGGUCAAAAUAUAUAAUCCUCUUAGAUUCAAAAUUACAGAAUACUUUCUCUUUCCCUCUGUUUCUCAAAAAGUGCCAUUUUAGUUUUUUCUUUUUAGAUAAAAAGUAUCGUUUUAGAUUUUUAAUGCAGUUUUUACGUAUUUUCAUCUGAAUAUUAAUUGUAAAUUGCAUUGAUCUUAUAAAUAAAUUUAUUUAUUUCUAAUAUCAUUGGUCAAUUAGACAUAAUUAAUAUAAACAUAAAUAUAUUUCAAUCAUUUUCUUAAUAUGUGUGAAGUGUCUAAGUGAUAUUUAUAAUGAAACGGAUAGAGUAUAAUAUUAGUUUCGUUUCAAACGUUGCUAUUGAAUGGUCUUUUAUUUUUUUAUUUUUUUUUAUCGACUUGCUAUUGAAUGGCCUCUAAGCUUUGCUUAUGGUGUUUUUCCAGCUGAAUCAACGACACUUGUGUAGGAUAUUAUUUAUUUUUAGAGAUUUUUGGAUGUCUGAUAAAGAUAUUUUCAAAAUAGUAAAAUUUCCAUAUAUUUCAUAUAAUAUCAUAGAUAACAGUAUUACAUAUUUAUAUAUCAUUAAAUUUGUAUGACAAUCGGUUGACAUAAAAAAAAAAAAUUUGUAUGACAAUCUCGAAGAACUUUCAACUCACAACUAGUCCACCACCUAAAUAACAGUCAUAAGAGAUAUAUUUUUAUAUAUAUACAGUUUAAAUCAUGUUUCAGACAUUAGAGCAUCUCCAAAAAGGAACUCUAUUUUGAAGUUUCCAAAACUCUAUAUUUGAAGUUUAAAGGUGUUCUUCUCCAAAAACAAAAUUUUAAACUCAACUUCAAAACUAUUUAUAUUUUAUAAUAUGGUCCUUAUAUUUGUCAUAACUAAUUUAAAUUCAUAUAACUUUUGUAAAUAACUAGCACAUAUAUAAACAUAUUACAACAAUAUUAAUUAAUAAAAUAUUCUAUUAAAUAUAAAAAUUAAAUAAAAUAACUUAAUUAAUAUUAAACUUCAAACAAAAUAUCAUAUUAUUUCAUAAAAUGAUUUUCGUAAUGCAUAUAUGAUCUAUUAGUGCAUUUCGAAGUAAAAAAGACUCUCCUUAUUUUUAAUUUGUAGAUUAAGAGGUAAAAGUUGUUGAAAUCAGGUAAUAUUGAUACUUGUAAAUACAUUAUAUUGGAACAAGAAAGUAAAAUAAAAACAUAAAGUAUUGCUAAAAAACUAAUUUCUUUCGAUGAUAUUAAUACUUGUGAAUAUAUUCGAUACGAACAAGAAAGAAUUGUACGAAAAAACAUCAAAAACAACAACAACAACCACUACAAGAAAACACAAGUUUUACGAGGGCAGUUUUCCUCGCUAGUUCGUCGUAAAAGCAGUGUUACGACGAAUUAGCGAGGAAACCCGUUUCGUCGUUAUAUGUUUGUCGUAACGCAUAUAUCCUCGCUAAAUCGUCGUAAGUUAGCGAGGAAAUAAUUUCGUCGUAAAAGCGAAGGAAGAUAUUUCGUCGUAAAGACCACGUAAAGAUUCCUCGUAAGGACGUCGCUAAUUUUCCUCGUAAAGACCACGUAAAGAUUCCUCGUAAGGACGUCGCUAACAUUCCUCGUAAUUACCACGAAAAUCUUUCCUCGUAAGACACACGUAAAUAAAUACUCGUAAAAUUGACGUAAAUACCUUGAAAGCUUUCCACGUAAAGAAAACGUAAAAACCUUGAUAGAUUUCCAAAUGUUUCCUCGUAAAAACCACGUUAAGCUUCCACGUAAAGAAGCCGCAAAAUUAGCUACGAAUUUACUUCGUUUCAUUAUUUUAUAGAAAUAUAAAAAAUUAUAAUUAUAAAUAUAAUUUAAAUUAUUUAAAUUAUUAAUGAAAUUAAAAUUCUAAAAAAAUCAAAACCAAAAUAUUUUAUAUAUAAAUAAGUUUUGAAUUUCAUAAUACAAGAACCAAAAUUAAAAAGAACUUGGGUGGUCGUUAAUUAAUCGCCUCGUAGAAUUCAUCACUCCUCGCCUGAACAUCCGCCUCGGCAUGUGAGUCGUCGGUCGGUGACUGGCCUGGGAUAGGAUUUUCUUGUCGCAUGGUCCUCAACAAAGUCGCCCAUUCCGGAUUUGUGGCCGCUACAACGUCCAAGAAGCCCUCGAGUCCACCCAUACGAGAUCGCAGCUGAGUAGAAUCUCUACGCAGCUGAGUAGACUCUCUACGCAGCUCUUCGGACUCCCUACGCAGCUGAGCGACUUCAUCAUCCCGUCGCUGAACAUAAGACGAUGUCGCUAUCGGAACAUCGUUGACGGAACCAAUCCCCAACGUCCGUCCCUUUUUUUUAGGGACAACCUUAAAAACAAAAAAUAAAUUUUGUUAGUAAAAAUUUAAAGUUAAAUUAAAUGAAUAUUUAAAAAAAUUAAAAUUUUAGAAAAUUUACCUCCUCGUAAAGCUUAUCCACUUCAGGUGUGGAUAAGGUGACGGGUAAUCCAUCGGUGGACUGUUGGGUCAGCUGGGUCUGGCGUUCUUCAACCCGAGCAGCCAAAUCGUUGUAGAUUUGUUCGGACUUGCCAUCUAUAAAUCGGCCCGCCUUGUUCUUGUGGGUCCUCUCGUAAAGUUGCAUAAGAGACGGGAAUUCUCCCGUCUCUUUGGCCUAAAAAAACAUUUAAGAAAGUUGUUAAUUAGAAUAUAUAUAUAAAAAUAUACUAAAAAUUUAAUAUAAUUAAAUUUUUAAUUACCAUUUCCAAACGGACACCAGCGUGGGGUUUUUGGCCCGUAGUGUGAAGCAUCGGCCCGUUCCCGUGCUCAUCGACUGUGUUACGGGAGUUAGAGCAAGACUGGGCGAUUCUAAUGGAAUCAGGAAGACGCCAAUAUCGGAUGAGGCCAUCCCAGACAUCCGUGGUGAGCUCAGCGGGUUUGCCACGCUCAUACCCCUUCACGAUCCAGUCACCCUUCCAGUUGGAGACCGUGUCCAACAAGCGAACUUUCGCCUUCGCUUCAAACUUCUUCCUCACCCUCUCAGUGAUCCCGAAGGCCCAAUUAUAUUUUUGCUGUUGGAAAAAAUAAUUUAUAAUUAGUUUUUCAGAAAAAAAUAUAUAUAUAAAUAAUUAAAAAAUUUAAAGAUAUAUAUUUAAUUAAUAGAACUUACAGCGUAAAUUUUGAACCACGUCUUUCUGACGUAGUGGGGCGUCAUUUUCCAGUUCGGAUGUGCCAUGGAGAAGUAACCUUUUAUCGUGUCGGUUACGUCCGAUGCAAGACAUCCGUCAAUCCCCCACCUGAAAAAUACAAAUUUAAAAUAUAAAUUAUUUUUUAAAGUUAUAAAAUAAUUUAAAAAGAAUAAAAAAAUAAUGAAACAUACCAUAAAGUUCCGUCCGGUCGGUCGGGGUCGAUGACUGGUAAACCUUCUCUGCCUGGCAGACGGAGAAUGUCCUCUACGGUGUACUGCGAGUAAGGAGCACUCGGAGGCACCAUCAAAUCGGGAUGAAUCUCGGCCGCGGGCAUCGGAGGUGCCGGCAUCGUAGGAGGCACAGGAGGAGGAGGCAUCUGGGGAGGCACGUGAAGAACCGAUGGUGCACUAGAAGAAGGAGAUCCAAUGACUCUCUGAGUGUACUGAGUCUCGGGGACAGUCUCCUGACCCAAAGAACCGGGAGCUGAAGAAGACGACGGGUCUAAACGACUACCCGGCUCUCCGAACAUCUCUCUGUAAUGGGCAGUAAGUCUACCUUUUCGAACCUGAGAAAAAAAUUUAAUUUUUAAAAUUUUCGUAAACAUAUCUAAAUUCCCUAUACUAAAUAACAUAAGAUCCGUAAACCUAUCUAAAUUCCCUAUACUAACCACCUAAUCUAUCCUAAACUAAUCAAACUAGAGAGGAAUUAGGGAGACUUACCAUUGCUACGAAUUAGGGAGGAAGUGGAGAGGAAGUGGAGAGGAAAGACGGAGCGAGCUCGCUCGGGAUAUAUAUAAGAUUACUUGUCCUCGUAAUUUCCUCGUAAACUUACGAGGAAUUACAGAGGCCCGCGUUUUCAGUUACGACGAAAUAGCGACGAAAUACAAAGGCCCGCGUUUUCGUUAACGACGUUUUUACGACGAAUUAGGUUACGUGGAAUUAACGAGUUAACCAGUUACGAGGAAUUAGCGAGCCUAUAUUUUCUAUAAAUACCCACAACUUUCCUUCUCAAACCACACACAAACUCACAAAACACACCCUAUCUCAAAUCACACUCCUCACCAAAAUACUUUUCAAAUUAGAAAUAUUUGAAAAAAAAAAGAAGAAAAGAAGAUAUUAGAAUUUAUGUGGAUGAGACUUAAGUCUCGCCACAUAUAAUUCCAGUAUCUUUCUUUUUUUCUUUUUUACUAGUUUUUAUACUAUGAGGAAGUAGCUAGUCCCGCUUUUCACCAAAUUAGAAAUAUUUGGAAAAAAAGAAAGAGAAGAAGAUAUUAGAAUUUAUGUGGGCGAGACUUAAAUAUUAUAAUUGCUGGAAGUCUUGCUACAUGUAAAUCUGGUGUCUCUCUUCUUUUCCUUUUUUUUCUAGUUUUUAUUCUACGAGGUUUUUACGACGAUUUUUGUUACGAGGUGUUUACGACGAAAUCAUCCUACGUGGAAUUAAAGAGUGCCUCCUUCGUCAUUUACUUUACGUGGUAUUUACGUCUAUUUACCUUACGAGGUCUUUACGACGAUUCCGUCCUACGUGGAAUUAACGGGUUUCGCUUUCUUUAUUUUUUUUAGUUUCGUCGUUAUUUCCACGUAAGAUAACGAGGUCUUUACGACGAUUCUGUCCUACGUGGAAUAAACGAGGAUUACGUCGUACAUUCGACGUCAACUUACGAGGAAUUAACGAGUAUUACGUUUAAUCCCUAAAAUCCGAAACCCCAAACCCCAAAACCCCAUAUUCCUUAUCUUCUACUUCAUAUAUUCCAAACCCCAUCUUUAUUUUCAUUCCAAACCACAAUUCCCACAUUUACUUAUUUAUAAAACAAACUCCCACAAUUUCUUAUUCAUAAAACAAACUCCCACAUUACCUUAUUCAUAAAACAAACUCUCACAUUACCUUAUUCAUAAAACAAACUACACAAAAUCAAAUACAUCAAUCGGAUACAUCGACAUUCUCGUCAUCACUAGAAAUAUCAUCAUUUUCAUUAAACUCGUCUUCUACAGCUUCGUCUGUGGCAUCAUCGGUAAGAUCUUCGUAUUCGUGAUUAUGCGGAUCAAUGAGAAGGAUGUCAUCAACUUCUUGUUCAGGUUCCUCGACUUCAUUUAUCUGUUCUUCUUGCAAUGGUGGUUCUUCUCCACUGAUGAUUCGUCCUCGAGGUGUAACUUUGAUCACUGCUAACCAAUUUAUACCCGAAUCUCUCAUCCGAGGGUAUGGAAGGAAGCUAACUUGGUCUGCUUGUGAAGCUAAGAUGAAAGGCUCGAAUUUGUUGUACCGACGUCCACCGUUGACAUCAACUACACCAAAUUUGUUAGACCGAACACCUCUGUUGACGACGGGGUCGAACCAUUCACAUUUGAAGAUGACGCAUUUCAGCUUCAGUAUCCCUGGAAAUUCGACUUCAAUAAUCUCCGUCAAGAUCCCGUAGAAAUCUGUUUCCCCUUUCACACAUAUUCCAUAGUUACUGGUCGCCCGCUGUCUACCAUACUCAUAUGUGUGAAAAGUGUAGCCUCGUGUGAAAUACAUCUGUGAUGUGGUGACCUUUACAAGUGGAGAUUGAAUUACUUCGUGUAACCACUUAGGAUAAUCUGCAUCGUCGUCAUAAUCAACCUGCAAAAAUAAAGAGAACAUUAAAAUACAAAUCAUGUAUGAAAAAAUAGUUUGAGUUAUAAUACCUGAUUCCGCAACCACUUAAUGAAGUGCUGAUCUUUCCUUUUGUCUACGUCACUUGUGGAUAUACCAGGAAAUGUUUCUUCGACUUGAGAAACAAAUAGGCUGUAAAAUUAAUCACAUUUCAUAGGAAUGAAUCUCUUGCAAUUAUAUAAUUAAUUAUAUGUGUUUUGAAGUGUCCAUAUAUGUUACCUUUCAAAAUAACGCAUCAAUGGAUCCUCGCAAUUGAGUAGAAUAUAGGUGUGUGCACUAUGAGCGUCUUGUUCACUCGACCACCAAACCUCUUUAGACUUCCCACCGAGUCGUCCAAUCUGGCUAAAGAUGUCUGGAACACCAGCAACUGCAUAUGUUGGCGCAACUCCACCAUCAUCAUAUCUUCUUGGAGCUCUUCUACGGGUACGUACUUUUGACGCAAAGUAGUACGAUGUGAAGUGAGAAACUUCUUCCGUCAAACUUCCAGCAAUUAUAGAACCUUCAACUUUGGCGAGGUUCUUUGCUUUUCCCUUCAAAUAUUUCAUGGCUCGCUCAUACUGAUACAUCCAUCCGUAAUGUACAGGUCCACGAAGCAAUGCUUCAUAUGGGAGGUGGACAGCUAGAUGCUCCAUGACGUCAAAAAAUCCAGGAGGAAAUAUCUUCUCCAAGUUGCACAAUAAGAUGGGAAUGUUCUCCUGAAGCUGUUCUACAACUUCUUCUUUAAGAGUGCGUGUGCUCAGAUCCCUGAAAAAUGCUCCAAUGCCUUUUAUAUUCCAAAAACAAUUAAACACAUUGUUAGUCGUAUAUUAUUUUGCAAACUAGACCGUUAUAAAAUUAUUGUGAUAUAAAACACUACGAACCUGCAAGUGCUUCAUGUACGUUUGUUGGAAGUAGCUCCGCAAAUGCAAAGGGCAGUAGUCGUUGCAUAAAGACAUGACAAUCAUGACUCUUCAUCCCAGAGAACUUUUGACCCUUUUCAACACAUCUAGAGAGAUUUGAAACAUACCCAUCGGGGAACUUCACUUCUGAUGCCACCCAGUUGAACAACACCGACUUUUUUUCUGAAGACAGUCUGAAUAUCGGAACGGGAACUUGUCCAUUGCUUUUAAUAUGUAACUCGCUUCUUGAGCAAAUAUCCGGCAAGUCCAACCUCGAUUUUAUGUUGUCUUUUGUCUUCCCUGGGACAUUCAAUAUUGUAUUCAUGAUGUUCUCAAAGAAAUUCUUCUCUAUAUGCAUCACAUCGAGGUUGUGGCGCAGAAGAAGAUCCUUCCAAUAUGGCAACUCCCAAAAUAUACUCUUCUUGUGCCAGUUGUGAUGAACACCGUAAGAAUCAGGCAUAUUACGAGGGACAUGCCAAUUACCACCCCAACGAACUGUUUCGUUAGCUCCGUAGUAGUCGAUUUGUGCUUCAAUUUGUUCUCCAGUUAGAUAUGGUGGAGAAGUGUCUCUCACAACCCUUUUGUGCCUAAACAAAUUCUUGUUUCUUCGGUAAGGAUGGCCAAUGGGAAGAAAUCGACGAUGACAAUCAAACCAACUUGUCUUCCUACCAUUCUUCAGUUGAAACGCAUCUGUCGUUCCAUUACAAUAUGGACAAGCUAAUCUCCCAUGUGUAGUCCAUCCAGACAACAUCCCAUAUGCAGGAAAGUCACUUAUGGUCCACAAAAGCAUAGCUCGCAUCGUAAAAUUCGUCUUCGUUGAACAGUCAUACGUCCUCACCCCUGUUGACCACAAAUCCUUCAACUCUUUUAUCAGUGGUUGUAGGAAAACAUCCAGGGACCUUUUUGGAUGGUUCGGACCAGGUAUCAAUAUCGUCAAGAAUAGCAACUCCCGUUGCAUGCACAUCUCCGGUGGCAGGUUGUAUGGCGUAAGAAAGACUGGCCACAAUGAAUAUUGUCUCCCUGACAUUCCGAACGGACUAAAUCCAUCUGUGCAUAAUCCGAGAUACACAUUCCGGCUAUUGCUAGCAAAAUCCGGAUGUACUUUGUUGAAAUGUUUCCAGGCUCUUGCAUCUGAUGGAUGAGUCAUCUCACCAUCCGUCUGAGUAUGCUCGGCAUGCCAUCUCAUCUUUGCAGCAGUCUGCUCUGAUUGAUACAAUCUUUUCAAUCUGUCUGUAAUUGGUAGGUACCACAUCCUUUGGUACGGUACCCUAUUACGUCCCCGUCCUUGCGGCUUGAAUCGUGGCUUCUUGCAGAAUCGACAUACUUCUAGCUUCUCAUCAUCUCCCCAAUAGAUCAUGCAGUUGUCGAUGCAGACAUCUAUCAUCUCCGAAGGCAACCCAAGACUAUAAACUAAUUUCUGAAUCUCAUAAUAAGAAUCAGCAGACACAUUGUCUUCCGGCAAAUACUCUUUAAACAAGUCCGCCCAUUCGUUCAUGCAACUUUCAGGUAGAUUGUGAUCAGUUUUAAUAUUCAUCAUUCUAGCAGCCAACGACAAUUUAGAGAGACCUUCUCUACAACCACUGUAAAGUGGUUGAUUCGCCGCGUUUAACAUUCCGUAAAACUUUUUUGCAUCUAUAUUAGGUUCUUCAUCUUCAUCAUGAGCUACGAAUGCAUCAGCUACCAUAUCAUGAACCCUAUCAUAAUCUACCAUCUCCUCCUGAUGGUAACUAUGUUCAUUAUGCAAAUGAUGAUUAACCGGUUCUUCCUGAAAAUUGCUAUUACUACUACUAGCUUCAUUCUGAUCAUAAUUAUAACCUUCCCCAUGUUGAAACCAGAUAUAGUAAUUUGGCGUGAAACCUCUAUUUAUUAAAUGCUUCCAAACAUUUUCACGGUUUGCCAAUUUCGAAUUGUUGCAUUUCCGACAAGGACAGAACAUCUUACCACUUUCUUGGGCGAGCGGUGUUGAAUCUGCUUGGUGCAUAAAUGUCUCCAGCCCCGCAAGGUAUUCUUUCGUCACUCUCCCGUUAGCAUCUCUAUGCAUAUACAUCCAAUUCCGCAACUCGUAAAUAGUCCCAGAGCCAGCCAUUUUUUUUUCUUUCACGUUUUUUGUUGUUGGUGUGUUUAAAAUGAUGUUCCAACAUCCAUAUUUAUAGAAAAUUUCGAAUCUGGUAGUUGUAAUUUUACUAUGAAAUUACGACGAAAAUUAAUUGUAUGGCCAAAAAAAAAACGUGAGCCACCUACCAAGUUGGUGGAUUCAAAAUUUCCUCGUUAAGUACACGUAAAAUAUUUCGUCGUAAAGCACUCGCGAAAUUUACGUGGCUUUUACGAGGAAAAACUAUUUCCUCGUAAAAGCCACGUCAAUUUACAUCGUCUUUACGACGAAUUUUUUUUGUCGUUACCUUACGACGAAAUAACGAUGCUUUUCUUUCGCAACGUAAUUUCCUCGCAAAAUCAACGUUUUUUUACGAGGAUUAUUUUUCCUCGUUAAACUUCCUCGGUAAAGAUACGUUUUCUUGUAGUGAACCAUCUUUAGUUACAAAAAAAAUUUGGACAAUAUUUGAAAAUUUAAAUGUUCCGGAUCAAACUUACAUGACUAUUAAUAUUGUUGUAAUAUUUAAAUUUGUGUAAUAGAGUUAUGUCUUCAUGUAAUUUUUUAAAAUCUUUUUGUUAAGUUUUUUUUGUAUAUUAUUGUUGUCUAAAUUUAGCUUUAAAUAUUUUAAAUUUUAUUUUAAAGUUUUAUUUAAUUUUAUAUGUAAAAUUGAAAAUAUUUAUGAGAUAUAAUCUUUAUAAGGAUUAAAACAAUAAACAAAAAACAUUUAUGAAUCAUAAAGGUGAUGUGUGAUUAUAGGGACCAAUAUGCAAAUAAAAAUAUGAAACUUCAAAUUUGAAGUUUUGAGUAGUGAAACUUCAAAUAUAGAGUUUCACUCCUCAAAACUUCAAAUUUGAAGUUUUGAAGUUUCUUUUUGGAGAGCAAAAAACUUCAUAUUUGAAGUUAUAGAGUGUCUUUUGGAGAUGCUCUUAGUGCAAAACUGUUAGGUGAAAGAAUAUCAGAAAGUUUGUUCCAAUUCAAUCUUUUCAUGUGUUUCAGAUCACCUUUUAGACUAGUUGCUUGAAAGACUGAAUGACCUGAUAUAUUUAAUUUUUGCAGAAUUAAUGAAACCAUUAAUAAUGUGAAGAAGCAUAGUUUAAUCAAAAGUAGAAUCUAUAAAAAAAAAUUUAUUUGAGAGUCUUUUGUUGUUUUGUAAAUUGUAAUUGGUGAGUGAACUCAAAAUGCAUAUAGAGUUGAGAAAAAACGACUGCAAUUUCACUUGAGGUUAAUGGCACCCACAAUGUGUUUUGAUUCCAUCCCCUCUUUUUUUGUAAGCUAAAUUUUGAUUACCAAUCAAAAGAUACAAAGUUAUUACAAACUGACAAAAACAAAUUAUUACAUAUGUAUAUACGUCGUAUAAGGAAUCCACAUAGAUACAUGGACAAAAAGGAUGGCUAACCAUAAAUAACAGACAACAACGAAGACAGAAAGACACCAACACGACGGUGUUCUCUUCUUGAUCAAUGUACCGAGCAACUCUCUCUCUCUCUCUCUCUCUCUCUCUCUCUCUGGUGAAACCCAUUCUGUUCUCCCAUGAUUGUGUCUCAGAAGCUGUGUAUGUACAUGAACGAUGGGAGAGGGAUUUGGACUGAUGAUUCCCAGAGACUCUAGCAGGGCUAUGCAAGCCUUUGCCUUAUUGGGUCUGAGUUGCGUCUUCUCUGAUUUUGCGCAGAUGUUUGCGUGAGUUUUCCUGCUCUGAUGGCUUUAGCUGACUGUGAUCCUAAUGAUUUUCCUGCUCAAGAGAAUAUUCACAGUUUGGACUUAAAAAGACAAUAGAUCAAAAGACAAAUCGAAAUCUUUCAAAGGACAAAUGUGUUGCGUCUUAUUAGGGUGUAACUUGUUCCAUAUCUAAUAGCUGAGGUAUUUGAUUUGAGGUUUGGACAAAGUCUCCAAUAAAACUUAGCUAUCCUAACAUCUAAAUUGUGGUCUGGUACCUUUAUGACCAAUGCAAAACUGAUUCUAUUAUCACUAUCACAAUGUUGAUAAGACUAUUCUCUUAAUGUUAAGCGUAGAGAAAGAGAUCUGACCACUGUUUGGUAGAGAUAACCGUUCCUUUGAAGAUCUUUCUUUUGGAUUGCUGUGAGAUCUUGGAACAGCACCAGGUCUUCUUGAGUUAACUUCAACAGCAAGAUCGUCUUUAGCAAGCUUUGACCUAGCCUUGGAUACCACUGGAAUGCUUGAAGAUACUCCAGGUGAAGAAGAAUCAUUAUCAGACAUAGAUGGCCCUGUUGCCUUCCCACUCGAAACACCACCGGAUACAAGAGUUGAAGUGUUUGGCAUCCUGCUUGCACUUUUCAUCUGUGUUUUAUGCACACUC
rnacentral:lncRNA from 1 species